rnacentral:rRNA from 1 species
GACGAACGCUGGCGGCGUGCUUAACACAUGCAAGUCGAACGGAAAGGCCCUGCUUUUGUGGGGUGCUCGAGUGGCGAACGGGUGAGUAACACGUGAGUAACCUGCCCUUGACUUUGGGAUAACUUCAGGAAACUGGGGCUAAUACCGGAUAGGAGCUCCUGCUGCACGGUGGGGGUUGGAAAGUUUCGGCGGGUUGGGAUGGACUCGCGGCUUAUCAGCUUGUUUGUGGGGGAGUGGCUUACCCAGGCUUUGCCGGGUAGCCGGCCUGAGAGGGUGACCGGCCACAUGGGGACUGAGAUACGGCCCAGACUCCUACGGGAGGCAGCAGUGGGGAAUAUUGCACAAUGGGCGGAAGCCUGAUGCAGCAACGCCGCGUGCGGGAUGACGGCCUUCGGGUUGUAAACCGCUUUCGCCUGUGACGAAGCGUGAGUGACGGUAAUGGGUAAAGAAGCACCGGCUAACUACGUG